rnacentral:rRNA from 1 species
GUGCAAGCAGGCCGCGGGUAAUACGGAGGGGUGCAAGCGGUUAAUCCGGAAUUACCUGGSCGUAAAGCGCGCGUAGGUGGCUUGAUAAGCCGGUUGUGAAAGCCCCGGGCUCAACCUGGGAACGGCAUCCGGAACUGUCAAGCUAGAGUGCAGGAGAGGAAGGUAGAAUUCCCGGUGUAGCGGUGAAAUGCGUAGAGAUCGGGAGGAAUACCAGUGGCGAAGGCGGCCUUCUGGACUGACACUGACACUGAGGUGCGAAAGCGUGGGUAGCAAACAGGAUUAGAUACCCUGGUAGUCC